rnacentral:rRNA from 1 species
GAUCAUGGCUCAGGACGAACGCUGGCGGCGCGCCUAACACAUGCAAGUCGAACGAGCGAGAGAGAGCUUGCUUUCUUGAGCGAGUGGCGAACGGGUGAGUAACGCGUGAGGAACCUGCCUCAAAGAGGGGGACAACAGUUGGAAACGACUGCUAAUACCGCAUAAGCCCACGGCUCGGCAUCGAGCAGAGGGAAAAGGAGCAAUCCGCUUUGAGGUGGCCUCGCGUCCGAUUAG